CCUGACGGAGCAAUGCCGCGUGAGUGAAGAAGGCCUUCGGUUGUAAAACUCUGUCCUAGACGAAGAGAGAUAUUGUAGUAACUGACAAUACUAGGACGGUAGACUAGGAGGAAGCCCCGGCUAACUAUGUGCCAGCAGCCGCGGUAAAACAUAGGGGGCAAGCGUUGUCCGGAAUCACUGGGCGUAAAGGGCGCGCAGGCGGUAAAUUAAGUCAGGUGUGAAAGUUCGGGGCUCAACCCCGUGAUUGCACCUGAUACUGAUAAACUAGAGUGUUGGAGAGGUAAGUGGAAUUCCUAGUGUAGCGGUGGAAUGCGUAGAUAUUAGGAGGAACACCAGUGGCGAAGGCGACUUACUGGCCAAUAACUGACGCUGAGGCGCGAAAGCGUGGGGAGCAAACAGGAUUAGAUACCCUGGUAGUCCACGCCGUAAACGAUGAGUACUAGGUGUUGGUUGUUUCGAAACAAUCGGUGCCGCAGUAAACACAAUAAGUACUCCGCCUGGGGAGUACGGUCGCAAGACUGAAACUCAAAGGAAUUGACGGGGCCCGCACAAGCGGUGGAGCAUGUGGUUUAAUUCGACGCACGCAAGAACCU
rnacentral:rRNA from 1 species